rnacentral:tRNA from 1 species
GCCCUGAGGUGAGUUUCAUAUUGAAUUGCAAAUUCAAAGAAGCAGCUUCAACCCUGCCGGGGCUU